GGCAGCCUAAUACAUGCAAGUCGAACGAUACCAGAGAGCUUGCUUUCUGGGAAAGUGGCGCACGGGUGCGUAACGCGUAUGCAACCUACCUUAAUCAGGGGGAUAGCCUCUCGAAAGAGAGAUUAACACCGCAUAAAAUCACAGUCCGGCAUCGGACAAUGAUCAAAUAUUUAUAGGAUUAAGAUGGGCAUGCGUGACAUUAGCUAGUUGGUAAGGUAACGGCUUACCAAGGCUACGAUGUCUAGGGGAUCUGAGAGGAUGACCCCCCACACUGGUACUGAGACACGGACCAAACUCCUACGGGAGGCAGCAGUAAGGAAUAUUGGUCAAUGGGGGCAACCCUGAACCAGCCAUGCCGCGUGCAGGAAGACGGCCCUACGGGUUGUAAACUGCUUUUAUACGGGAAUAAACCCCUUUACGUGUAAAGGGUUGAAUGUACUGUAAGAAUAAGGAUCGGCUAACUCCGUGCCAGCAGCCGCGGUAAUACGGAGGAUCCAAGCGUUAUCCGGAUUUAUUGGGUUUAAAGGGUGCGUAGGCGGCCUAUUAAGUCAGGGGUGAAAGACGGUGGCUCAACCAUCGCAGUGCCCUUGAUACUGAUGGGCUUGAUUACACUUGAGGUAGGCGGAAUGUGACAAGUAGCGGUGAAAUGCAUAGAUAUGU
rnacentral:rRNA from 1 species